rnacentral:rRNA from 1 species
GGUCAAGUGAAGAAGCGCAUACGGUGGAUGCCUUGGCAGUCAGAGGCGAUGAAAGACGUGGUAGCCUGCGAAAAGCUUCGGGGAGUCGGCAAACAGACUUUGAUCCGGAGAUCUCUGAAUGGGGGAACCCACCUAGGAUAACCUAGGUAUCUUGUACUGAAUCCAUAGGUGCAAGAGGCGAACCAGGGGAACUGAAACAUCUAAGUACCCUGAGGAAAAGAAAUCAACCGAGAUUCCCUUAGUAGUGGCGAGCGAACGGGGAUUAGCCCUUAAGCUUCAUUGAUUUUAGCGGAACGCUCUGGAAAGUGCGGCCAUAGUGGGUGAUAGCCCCGUACGCGAAAGGAUCUUUGAAGUGAAAUCGAGUAGGACGGAGCACGAGAAACUUUGUCUGAACAUGGGGGGACCAUCCUCCAAGGCUAAAUACUACUGACUGACCGAUAGUGAACCAGUACCGUGAGGGAAAGGCGAAAAGAACCCCGGAGAGGGGAGUGAAAUAGAACCUGAAACCGUAUGCGUACAAGCAGUGGGAGCCUACUUGUUAGGUGACUGCGUACCUUUUGUAUAAUGGGUCAGCGACUUAUAUUCAGUGGCAAGCUUAACCGUAUAGGGUAGGCGUAGCGAAAGCGAGUCUUAAUAGGGCGUUUAGUCGCUGGGUAUAGACCCGAAACCGGGCGAUCUAUCCAUGAGCAGGUUGAAGGUUAGGUAACACUGACUGGAGGACCGAACCCACUCCCGUUGAAAAGGUAGGGGAUGACUUGUGGAUCGGAGUGAAAGGCUAAUCAAGCUCGGAGAUAGCUGGUUCUCCUCGAAAGCUAUUUAGGUAGCGCCUCAUGUAUCACUCUGGGGGGUAGAGCACUGUUUCGGCUAGGGGGUCAUCCCGACUUACCAAACCGAUGCAAACUCCGAAUACCCAGAAGUGCCGAGCAUGGGAGACACACGGCGGGUGCUAACGUCCGUCGUGAAAAGGGAAACAACCCAGACCGCCAGCUAAGGUCCCAAAGUUGUGGUUAAGUGGUAAACGAUGUGGGAAGGCUUAGACAGCUAGGAGGUUGGCUUAGAAGCAGCCACCCUUUAAAGAAAGCGUAAUAGCUCACUAGUCGAGUCGGCCUGCGCGGAAGAUGUAACGGGGCUCAAACCACACACCGAAGCUGCGGGUGUCACGUAAGUGACGCGGUAGAGGAGCGUUCUGUAAGCCUGUGAAGGUGAGUUGAGAAGCUUGCUGGAGGUAUCAGAAGUGCGAAUGCUGACAUGAGUAACGACAAUGGGUGUGAAAAACACCCACGCCGAAAGACCAAGGGUUCCUGCGCAACGUUAAUCGACGCAGGGUUAGUCGGUUCCUAAGGCGAGGCUGAAAAGCGUAGUCGAUGGGAAACAGGUUAAUAUUCCUGUACUUCUGGUUACUGCGAUGGAGGGACGGAGAAGGCUAGGCCAGCUUGGCGUUGGUUGUCCAAGUUUAAGGUGGUAGGCUGAAAUCUUAGGUAAAUCCGGGGUUUCAAGGCCGAGAGCUGAUGACGAGUCGUCUUUUAGAUGACGAAGUGGUUGAUGCCAUGCUUCCAAGAAAAGCUUCUAAGCUUCAGGUAACCAGGAACCGUACCCCAAACCGACACAGGUGGUCGGGUAGAGAAUACCAAGGCGCUUGAGAGAACUCGGGUGAAGGAACUAGGCAAAAUGGCACCGUAACUUCGGGAGAAGGUGCGCCGGCUAGGGUGAAGGAUUUACUCCGUAAGCUCUGGCUGGUCGAAGAUACCAGGCCGCUGCGACUGUUUAUUAAAAACACAGCACUCUGCAAACACGAAAGUGGACGUAUAGGGUGUGACGCCUGCCCGGUGCCGGAAGGUUAAUUGAUGGGGUUAGCGCAAGCGAAGCUCUUGAUCGAAGCCCCGGUAAACGGCGGCCGUAACUAUAACGGUCCUAAGGUAGCGAAAUUCCUUGUCGGGUAAGUUCCGACCUGCACGAAUGGCGUAACGAUGGCGGCGCUGUCUCCACCCGAGACUCAGUGAAAUUGAAAUCGCUGUGAAGAUGCAGUGUAUCCGCGGCUAGACGGAAAGACCCCGUGAACCUUUACUGUAGCUUUGCACUGGACUUUGAGCCUGCUUGUGUAGGAUAGGUGGGAGGCUUUGAAGCGUGGACGCCAGUUCGCGUGGAGCCAUCCUUGAAAUACCACCCUGGCAUGCUUGAGGUUCUAACUCUGGUCCGUAAUCCGGAUCGAGGACAGUGUAUGGUGGGCAGUUUGACUGGGGCGGUCUCCUCCUAAAGAGUAACGGAGGAGUACGAAGGUGCGCUCAGACCGGUCGGAAAUCGGUCGCAGAGUAUAAAGGCAAAAGCGCGCUUGACUGCGAGACAGACACGUCGAGCAGGUACGAAAGUAGGUCUUAGUGAUCCGGUGGUUCUGUAUGGAAGGGCCAUCGCUCAACGGAUAAAAGGUACUCCGGGGAUAACAGGCUGAUACCGCCCAAGAGUUCAUAUCGACGGCGGUGUUUGGCACCUCGAUGUCGGCUCAUCACAUCCUGGGGCUGAAGCCGGUCCCAAGGGUAUGGCUGUUCGCCAUUUAAAGUGGUACGCGAGCUGGGUUUAGAACGUCGUGAGACAGUUCGGUCCCUAUCUGCCGUGGACGUUUGAGAUUUGAGAGGGGCUGCUCCUAGUACGAGAGGACCGGAGUGGACGAACCUCUGGUGUUCCGGUUGUCACGCCAGUGGCAUUGCCGGGUAGCUAUGUUCGGAAAAGAUAACCGCUGAAAGCAUCUAAGCGGGAAACUUGCCUCAAGAUGAGAUCUCACUGGGAACUUGAUUCCCCUGAAGGGCCGUCGAAGACUACGACGUUGAUA